rnacentral:tRNA from 1 species
GGAGUUGUAGCUCAGUGGUAGAGCGCUUGCCUAGCAUGUGUGAGGUACUGGGUUCGAAUCUCAACACCA